CGCUGUCCAGCACUUGGACCUCUCCGUUUGGUCCGUUGGAACAGUUCCUGCGUCCCUGACGAAUAGUCUCCUCGAUCUCCGCGACCCGGAACGCGCACAGCGCCGACUUCCGGUUCGACUUGGUGAAGACACCGAACAGUGAUUAAAAAAGAACCCAACUGAGCCAGAAAUCACAGAAACUGGCAGCAAUCCAGCGUGAGUUCACUCCAUUCAUCACCCUGCUAACUGAGGAUUGCCCAGAACCUGGAGACUAUCCCGGGGGACUCGGAGCACGAGGCAGGGGACACCCUGGACAAGGUGCCAACCAAUCACAGGACUCACACUCACACACUAUGAACAAUAUAGAGAUGCCAAUCAACCUACAGUGUAUGUCUUGGGACUGGGGGAGGAAACCGGAGUACCAGGAGGAAACCCCAGAAGAACAUGCAAACACGCUGUACACACAGGAAAGAGUGAGGAAUUGAACCCAUAUAUAUUACGUUUUGAAUAACACAUGCGCCACGAGUGGAGAGUCGCCUUGGGACCAUUAAGAAAUAGGAAUAGCUAAAGAGCGCCAUCUGCUGGGAAGACUGAAAAGCGAGACUAUAGGAUUUAAAAUUAAAAUAAAAAUAAAAAUUGGCUAAGUGAGACCGCUUACUGAAGCUAGAAAAAUGAGUGAAUGAAUGAUUUGUCCACCUUUUUUGUUUUCAACUCCAACAAUCCUCAUUAUUAGACUUUCAGUCUGGCUCUGGAUCUCAGCUCAUAAUAAUGAUACAGGCCUGUUCAUUAUCACACAGUUCCCUUAAGCAGCUGGUUUGAUUACUGUUUUAAUUGAACACUGUAUUGAUUACUGUAGCCUGCAUCACCCUGUUUGCUGAUAUUUCCCUCAUCUCUCCUCAUGAUCCUGCAGAGUAUCGCCUUACAAAGAAGAUCCCAUGACAAACCGAGAAAGCAGCCACAUGGGUGCAAUAAGACGAAAUACAAGACAGAAAGGGGAAUGUUUUUUCAUUAGUGACAUGUUGACAACGUGCCAAACUGAAACGCAAAGCCUUCACUGCAUUGCUCUUCCAUCUGUUUAACGAAACAGCAGUUUAAGAUUAAGUUUAAGUCCGGAUUUGUGUAAUAAGUGAAUGUGAUCCACCAUUAAAAUGUGAGAUCCUGUUACAAAAGUAAUCACAAAUACACAAAUUGUCCUUAAAAAAGGGUUUUCCAUCAAGAAUUUUCCAUUACAAAGAUCAAGCAAGAUCAAGGAUUUGCUUUUCAGUGUGUUACGUUGUAGGAAUAUAAAGAAUAUUGUUUCCUUUUUUUCCCUCACCAGUGUGACUGCUUUCCUCCCAGGGAUUGAAUCAUCUCCACAUUGGCUUGCACCUUUUCCUUUGCUUCAAUGGAUUUUAAUAAAAAGCCAAUCCGUGUCUAAAUGUUUAAAUGUCAUGUUCAUUAGAAAGAGAUAAAGAGUGUUAGACUAGAGUGUGCAAAGAGAAUGCAUUUAGGAUUUUACCAGUUUGAGUCUUACAUGUCCUUCUACAUAUUCCUCCUAAUUAAUACACACAUUCUACAUAUGCUAUAUCUGCAUCACACAACUCCAACUGACUGUAGAAAGGACAUUGUUCAUAAUCACACUCUCCGGUGUUUAUUAUAAUUUACAAAAAAACACUCUCCGGUGUCACCCAAAUGAGGAUGAGGUUCCCUUUUGAGUCUGGUUCCUCUCAAGGUCGCCUCAGGCUUGAUGGUUUUGGCUAACAUUAAUCUUGGGCUUUUGUACUAUGUUUCUUAUGUUCUGUAAAGCUGCUUUGAGACAAUGUCUAUUAUUAAAAGCGCUAUAGAAAUAAAAUU